rnacentral:sRNA from 1 species
GCCAUAAUGGCUAACACCUAGGUCAUAACUCGUUACAAUUACUUGUUCUCCUUUUUCAAAGCCUGGUGCUUCGGAUUCAACAAUUGUUCCAGCUAAAUCUAUUCCUGGAAUCAUAGGAUACGAUUUUACGACUGCAUUAUGAUCUUGAGUCGCUAAAGCAUCUUUAUAAUUUAUACCAGAGUAAUGUAC